AUAAAAAAUUUACUUUAAAUUUUAUGUUUAAUUUUUAUUUAAUAAAAAUAAUUUUAAUAAGUUAUAUUUUUAGUAGAGUUUAUUGAAAAAAUUAAUUUAGUUAUAGUUAAAUUGUAUUGUAAAAGAUUAUUGAAAUAAAAUUUUAUUUUAUAAAAGUAUAAUUUGAUUUUAGUACCUUGUGUAUCAGGGUUUAUUAAAUAAAUAUUAUAAAUUUUAAUUUUCUCGAAUUUAAGAGAGCUAAUAAAUUAUUUUUUUUAUUGUGAAAAAAAUAUUUAUAAUAAUUUAUUAGUAAUGAUAUGUUAUUCGUUCUUAAAUAUAUCUAGUUUAUUUAGAAAUGAAUUUAAUUCAGAUAUUAUUAUUUUAAUGGUUUAAUUUUUUAAAUUAUUAAAUUUAUUAAUAUUAAUAAUUAAAGGGAUUAGCUUUUAAUUAAAAAUUUAAAAAUUAAUAGAAUAUUUUAAAAAAGAUGUAGAUUUAGAAAUAGUCAUCAUUAAUAAUUUGUUAUAAUUAAUUUAUUAAAAAAUAUUAUUUUAUAUAGUUUUAAAUUUUUUAUAAAUAAUUAAUUUUUAAUUUUAAAAAUUUAGUUAUAAUGAUAGAAUUAGUAUAUAUUUAAUUUGUUUAAAUAAUAGGUUUUUAAAGAUUAUUUAAAGGAAUUCGGCAAAAAUUUUACUCGCCUGUUUAACAAAAACAUGUCCUUUUGGAUUUUUAUUUAAGGUCUAGUCUGCCCACUGAAUUUAAAUUUUAAAUGGCCGCAGUAUUUUGACUGUGCAAAGGUAGCAUAAUCAAUAGUUUUUUAAUUAAAAGCUUGUAUGAAAGGCUGGACGAGGUAAGAUCUGUCUCUAUUUAAAUUAAUAUAAAAUUUAACUUUUAAGUUAAAAGGCUUAAAUAUAGUUAAAAGACGAGAAGACCCUAUAGAUCUUUAUAAUUUGUUAAUUAAAGUUAAUUUAGAAAUAUUAAUGUUUUAUUUAAUUAAAUUAUUUUAUUGGGGUAAUAGAAAGAUUGAAUUAAUUCUUUUUUUUAAUAAACAUUAAUUUAUGGAUGUUAGAUGAUCCAGUUUUACUGAUUAUAAGAUUAAGUUACCUUAGGGAUAACAGCGUAAUUUUUUUAGAGAGUUCAUAUCGAUAAAAAAGUUUGCGACCUCGAUGUUGGAUUAAAGAUUAUUUUAGGUGUAGAAGCUUAAUAAUUUUGGUCUGUUCGACCAUUAAAUCUUUACAUGAUCUGAGUUCAGACCGGCGUAAGCCAGGUCGGUUUCUAUCUUUAAUACAAUAGAAUAUUUUAGUACGAAAGGACCAAAUAUUUGGUAUAUUUAUAUUUGAUUAAUUGAAUAUUAUUAAAGUUAUAA
rnacentral:rRNA from 1 species